rnacentral:rRNA from 1 species
GCCAAUCCCGAAAGCUCCUCUCAGUUCGGACUGGAGUCUGCAACCCGACUCCACGAAGCUGGAUUCGCUAGUAAUCGCGCAUCAGCCAUGGCGCGGUGAAUACGUUCCCGGGCCUUGUACACACCGCCCGUCAAGCCAUGGAAGUUGGGAGAACCUAAAGUCGAUAACCGCAAGGAGUCGCCUAAGGUUAUACCGAUAACUGGGGCUAAGUCGUAACAAGGUAGCCGUACCGGAAGGUGCGGCUGGAUCACCUCCUU